rnacentral:rRNA from 1 species
AGGAUGGACCCGAGGAGGAUUAGUUAGUUGGUAAGGUAACGGCUUACCAAGGCGACGAGCAGUAGCCGACCUGAGAGGGUGAUCGGCCACAGUGGAACUGAGACACGGUCCAAACGCCUACGGGAGGCAGCAGUGGGGAAUAUUGCACAAUGGGCGAAAGCCUGAUGCAGCAACGCCGCGUGAGUGAUGAAGGCCU